ACGGGUCACAUACAACGAAGUUUCGUAGAAUAAGAUGAUAUGAUUCUCUCUCUCUCUCUCUCUCUCUAUGCAGAGAAUAGAACGUGCAAGAGAGAGAAAAUAAGAUUUAGGGGAGAGAGAGAGAGAGAAUUUGGAAACCCAAAUCCAUGACAAAAGUGGAAAAGAAAUCUAAUCCUACAAAUAUGGGUAAGGGAAAAACACAGUAAAGAAGUACACUUUUUUUUUUGACCAAGUAGGCGCACUUGGGCGGCACGGCAUGUGAAAGUGGUUAUUAGGGGGUUCUGCAUUCCUUAAAUUGAGAGGCUGGUUUUGAUUUCUCAUCAUCUUUGAUCUUCAAAUUGCUCUGUUUUCUGAUUUUUUUUAUCCGUGUUUGUUAAGUGUUUUUUUGUUGUUUUGUUUUGGGUUUGUGACUGAUUGUGUCCACUUUGAGACAGUUCUGUAACUGUUUGUUGAAUUGACCAAGAAAGGAAAAAACCAAAAAAAAAAAAAGCAAAGCCGAAGUAAUGGAAAACAAGAAGCAAGUGGGUUCUUCUUCUUCUUCUCCUUCUUCAUCAUUCACUGCUGAUGUUUUUGGUUCCAAGGAAUCGACACCGCCGUCAGCAUCCACCGGAUUUUUUGCGUCAGUGUUUCCUCCACCAUCACCGGCUGCAGGUGGGGACUCAUCAUGCUCAGAGCUAAUGGGAUACAUGCAAAAACAGUUGUCGGGGAAUCAUGUGUGGAGGAGCACCAAUCAAGGAACUGCAGACUUUAUAGCCAAGAAAAGUGAAGGUGCAGGCAAUAGCAUAGCCAACAAGGAAAGGACUUCAGUUGUCCAGGAAAGUGUAGAACAUUGUCCUCUAAGUUCAUCUCUCUAUUAUGGUGGGCAAGAAGACAUGUAUAUCCGUUCUUCGAGUACUCAGACCUCCAGCUCCUACCCCAUUUUCAAGAAAAAUGCAGUGGAAGAUGAUCCCAAUGGAAACAAUUCACAGGGCGCUUCUAGAGGGAACUGGUGGCAAGGGUCACUUUAUUAUUAAGACUUUGUCCAGCCGAGGAUGUGUAUUAUGGAUCUAUUUACCAAGGUAAGGAAUACACAAAACCUCCGCAGGAGUUUGAUUUGGCUUUUAUUAUAUGGAAGAUAUGCGGUAUUUUAACAAAGCUUUAUUGGACAGAACUUACAAGGAGAUUCAUAUGGAGCUCCCAAGGUUAUAUAGUGGGAAACCCUUGUCAAUUUUUUUCUUUUUAGAACAAGAUUUUCCCAGGAAUUCUACUAGGAUUACCCUGUAUAGUUGAACAAUAUUGCUUUGGUUUUCAUAUAGCAGUAAUGAAUGAGGACAGUAUGAUAAUUCCGAUUUGCUCUUUUAUGUAUCAAAAAAGAUGUUCAAAGGUUUAUUUCAGAUUGUGUGCUAGCUAAAACAGCUUACUGUUUACUAUGAAA